rnacentral:lncRNA from 1 species
GUUUAACAAAAUACUAUGGCUUGAUCUGGGCGGAGUCUCUGAUCUGGGUCACAAAGAUGGCCAUACGCGACGGCAUAAAAGCAAUUGCUUUAAAAAUAAUAUGGCAUAUGUUGAAAUUAUACCACAAUCUGUUGAUAAGAUACACUGUUGUUGAACAAAAGAAUAAAGUUCACAGUGAUUUCAGACAAAUUUGGUUUGGUCAGGCAGACUUUAGCAGAAAUUUUAACUUUUAUUUAUUGUUAAUCAGACAGAAAAUACUACGUGCAUAUUUCAAUUUUGUUUGAAAUUCAAAUUCUGAAUAUCAAAAUUUUUCUCAAACAAAUAUCAUUGCAGGAUAAACAGUACUGUAUGUUCAAAAAUUUUUGGGAUGUUUUUUAUCAUUGCCAAAAUUGAAAUAUCAUCAUUUUUGCUUUAUAAAUUAAAACUUGCAAUUUGUAUUGCACUGUUUGUAUGCAACAUUUCUGAAACCAGUAUACAUUUUGUUCAUCAAAUACACUCUCAGGAUAAAGCUUAAAUUAUUCACAAAAUAAUUACAUAUGUGUAUAAAAUUACAAAUAUAGCAGGAUAUCAAAACAUAUAUAUUAAUAAGUACAAUGCACAUAACUAAAUUAUCUAUAGCACCAUAAAGUUAUGUAAAAGGGUAAUUUUUUGUGAUUUAAAAAAAAAUUAAAAUGGAAAAACUUGAAAACAAACUGAUUUUGAUGGAAAAUAAAACAUUUUAAGAGAUGGAAAAUAUAUAAAAAUAUUUUUUUCAGGAUCAAUUUAUUUUAAUUUAUUUAAGUUAAAAAUUCAAACUGAACUGGAAGAACUAAAUCAACUAGAUUUUUGCUGCAUUUCAAGUGAGUUGAUAUUCUUUUUUUUAUCUUCCUUUCUUCAAAUCACAAAAAGACACCAUUUUACAUAGUAAAUAUUGAGUAUUAUAAUAAAUAUGGAAGACAUGAUUAUGAAUGGAAAUUAAAACAAAAAAGCCAUGUUUUCUUUUUUUAAAGUUAAGCAAAAUUUAUUUACUUUUAAGAUGAGAGGAAACAAAUAAAAAUUGCAAUUUUUGUCACAAUGUGAAAAUCCAAUAACAAUUAUUUUGAUGUAAUUUAAAUAGACAGUGAUAGAUGACUCCCCCCUUUUAUUGCUGACUGCUUUAACAAUUACUGUGUUAUUACUGAAUACAAAUAAAGUAACUAAAAAAGAAUUCUUCAAUUUCAAAAUCUUUCUCACUUUUUGAAAAUUAAAGAUAUUUCUUAUUUAUUUGUCAAACCUUCUCAUAUUUAUAAUUACAGAAAAAUAAUCAUCUUUAAAAGCAAUCAAGUAGUUAAUUCAACUUAUCAUUCACGAAAAUCUAAUAAAUCAGACAAAAUGUUUUUAAUAAUAAACAUAUCAUAAAUUUCUUCAUUCCAAGAUUCAUACAUUCUAAUUAUCAACCUUAAAACAUGUCUCAAGCAUUGCAUUGAAGUCACAAAACAUAAACUAAAAUAUAUCUAAAACACAAAACAGCAGUAAAAAUAUGUAUAUAAUUCGUCAUAACUAAAUCGUUAAAAAAAGCUUAAGUACUGUAAUGUCAUAACUUUGGACAAUAGAUAUAAUAGUUGUAUUUAAUCCUUCGUAUUAAUCCUCUUACUGAGCGUAUUAACUAAAAUGACUAUAGAAAAUGUAUUGAGAGGGAACUGACCCCAUGGAUUUUAAAACAUAAUUAUCGCUAAUUCUCACCUUGAAAACAAAGGUGGAUGAUGAAUCGGUCAUUGAAAUCAACCUUUAAAUAUCUGCUGACCAGAAUGGUCCAAUAUUUGAAGUAAAAUUCACUCCAACAGUAUAAAAUAAAUAUAACAGGUUCUAAUUUGCUUUAUAAGAGUGGGCUGUGCAUUUUUGGCAAACUACCGCUGGAGUUAAUCUAUCAUAUAUGCUUAGGAAUGCAUUUUCAUUUCAUACAUAUUCUUAUGAAACUGUUAUGCGAUUUUCUUUUUUAUAUAAAAUAUAUCUUGAAUAUUUCUUCUCUUUUGAUCUAAAAAAAACCCCAACAAUAUAGCCCAGCUGUGCUCUUUGGUAUUUUUACAAUUUAAUUCAACCCCUCCCCCUUUUUCUUCAGACCCUGUAUCUACCUGUUGGCAUCCAUGUGAGAAUCAAACAGAUUUUUGUUUCAUGCACACCAAGUUUUACUUCUUCAAACUUCAUCAUUUUCAUUUUUUUUAAAUCAAGCAACAUUAAUGGAUACAAAAAACUACAAAUAUAUUGUUGCAAUAAAUUAUAUUAUAUUUUAAGUGCACAACAUUAACAUCAAAAGAACUUCUUUCAUCAUUAUUUCUUCAAAAUAUUUUACUAUAAAAUGGGGAAAGGUAUGUGCACUUGUUUCGAAUUCAUCGAACCAAUAAAUUUGACUCGCUCGGUGUAAGUCAUUUAUUACCCAUAAGUGAAAGGUACAAAAUAAACAUUUCAACAGUAAAAAGUUUAUAUUAUUUCACAUGCCUUUAUUUCUACAAAACCUGUCUGAUUCUCACAUGGAGCUAAACUUAAUCUUCUUUUAUAAAACAUAAAUUAAAUACAAUUUAACAAGAUAAAAUAUACACCCAUUGACAUGUAAAAAAAUCAAUACAUGUAUUUAAAUGUCAGACCUACAUGUAUAAAAAGCAAUUAAAAAAUUCUUUAUAACUCUAUAGCACAUAACAAUCAAAAAUAUCAGUCAAAACAUUGAAUAACAAAUUCUAUAACGAAAUAAAAUAUCAAUAUUCUAGUUCACACAACAAACUAAAUAUAAACCUAUUUUAAUAUUACCUAUCCUUAUAUAAAUGAUCAAUUAACAAUCCUAGGUUUAAAUGUUUUCUUUCCACUGAUAUAAUUGAAACCUCAUAAAAAAUCAAUUUGAACUCUUGAUAUAAUAUUAUUCAUUAUUUAUA